UCCUAUAAUACUUAUCGCGAAGUCCCUUCCGGCCUGCCUGCGAGGCGUCCUCUCGAGCGGCUCGGGUUUUCCGUUCUCGCAGACAUCUCUCAGUUCCUUGGUGAGAUUACGUGACAGAAAGAGGAGAAAGUAAGUGGCGGGGGAAACGGCUUGAAGUGAGAAACGGUUUGUUUGCUUUGGGUUGUAGGCUCGUAGCCCAUCUAUAUUAGCCGCCGCACUCUUGCGUUCUCGCCGCUCGAAGGGUUCAAUACAAACCCUCUACCUUGCUAGCCGUGGUGACAGAUGAUGGUCCUCUUCUUCGAUCUCAGCAUCUCCUAUCUCGAGAGGGAGGACGCCGCCGCACCGGAGAACAAGGCCCGACGGGACGCGCGGCUGAAGGCGGUGGUGAAGGCCAUGGAGCUCGGCUACACCGCCGUCGCCUACGACCGCCCCUUCCGCGGUGUCAUGUCCGACGCUGACCGUUGUAAGAUCCCCCCCUUUCCCCUCUCCUCUCUCCUCGGCGCCGCCCCCGCCCUUGCCUCCACCGUCGCCUUCCACCGCGACAUCCUCGGCGUCGCCCUCUCCGCCCCCUUCCGUCAGUACUCCCGCCUCACCGUCUCCAUUAGCGCCAAGUCCGCCGCCGCGGCCCUCCACCCCGGGAACCCUGUUCUUAGGACCUACGACAUCGCCGCCGUCCGGCCUUUCAACCAGGUGGCCUUCGACGAGGCCUGCAAGUUCUCUGAGGUUGAUAUAAUUUCGAUAGACUUCUCUCAGAGACUUCCUUUCCGUUUAAAGCUUCCAAUGGUAGAAGUUGCAAUUAAGCGUGGGUUAUAUUUUGAGAUAACCUACUCUCACCUUAUUGCUGAUGUUCAUGUCAGGAGACAAAUGCUAUCAGAUGCCAAGCUACUAGUGGAUUGGACACGAGGGAAGAAUCUCAUCAUCUCAAGUGCUGCUUCCACUGCAAAUGAAAUUAGAGGACCAUGUGAUGUUGCAAAUUUAUCUGCAUUUUUGCUUGGCCUCUCCAUUGAGAGAGCAAAAGCAAAUAUUUCCGAGAACUGCAGAUCACUGGUAGCUAAUGCCUUAAAAAAGAAGCAUUGCUAUAAGGAAGCUAUCAGAAUUGAAAGAAUUUUGCCUGAGGAACAAUUGGAUUCUGAAAGGGUUUGGUUUGGUGACUGUAACAAUUGGGAUCCUAUCUCUAGUGGCCAAGGUGAUUUGCCAUCAUUGGAUGAUAUGACAAAGUUUUUCUCUUGUGCCAGCAAACAGUCUAAAAGUUCAAAUGCAAUUGAUUUCACAUCAAUAGCUGAUGGAAUGCCAUUCUCAUUCAGUCAGCAUCAAACACAGGUCUCCUCUCCUAAGAUAGUGGGGUCAUCUGCUGCUGUAGAUGGCACCCCUCUUGCUGCAACCAGUGAUGUCACCCAGCAAGAGGUGUCUAAUGAGCUUCUAGUUGAGAAUCGGAUGCUGAUGGAUACAACACCAUCAGAACAGCAAAAGACUGUCAUGUCAUUCUCAUUUGGUCAACAUCAAACACAUAUCUCCUCUCCUAAGAAACUAGGGUCAUCUGCUGCUGCAGAAGGCACCCCUCUUGCUGCAACUGGUGAUGUCACACAGCAAGAGAUGUCUAAUGAGCUUCCGGUUGAGAAUAGAACACCAAUGGAUACAACACCAUUAGAAUGGCAAGAGUCUGUCACAAGUGUUUUGGCUUCGUCAUUUGACAUGGAAACAUCAUUUGCUAAUGCUGAAGAACCUGACCCAGAUGUUGUGGUGGAUAACGACCUCAAAAGUUCCAAUAGACAUACUAUGAUUUCUGAUGCAGCUGAUGUGCCUAUAUGUAGUGCAGUGUUGGAGGAUUGUAAGUUCACAGGUGAGGAAAAUCUUUUGCCAUCUAAUGCUAAUCCAGUUUGUUCGACUCUUUUUGAGGUCUGUGGGCCAUCCGAUAGAUGUUUGGAGGAUCAUACAAGUCCAGACCAGUCUGAUAAUGUUCCAGUUGCAAUUCAGACUCCUACUGAUGUCUCGGAAGAUAUGUACUCCAUCAAUGUUGCAAGCAGUCAGAUCUCAUCAAGGGAUAAUGAGUCAUUUUUCACCAUUUCCAUUGAGAAAGAUAUGCCAAAAGAGAAAGAAACAGAGAAAAAUGUUGAGGAAGGGCUGAAGGAUGAAAAUAUUAAUGCCUGUGGCUUAUAUUUGCAAAGCGAUAUUGAUAAGCCUUCAGAAAGUGAUGAAAGAGAGGAUCUGAGCUCAUUGGCAGAUGACAUACCUUUAGAGGACACUCUCAUGGACAGAAAAGAACAAGGGCUAGGAGAAAUUGUUUUGACUGAAAGUGAUGAAGUAUUGAAGGAGUUUACAUCUGGCAAAAAUGAACAAAUAGAAAAUAGUUCAGCAGCUGCUAACAGGGGCACAUCCUGCAAGAUUAAGUCAGUGAAACGAGGAAGCAGGCAAAGGCCGGUCUAUCCAGCUUUCCCAUUGCCUUUCAAGGGUUUGUUUAAGCCAAUGCUUUUCAAGAAGAAAAUAUGUCAGUUCCAAAGACCAAGAAAACAUUUGUAAGAUGUAUAUUUGAGAAAGGGGAAAACCAUGCUUCUUGGGAUGCACAGGGCGGUAGUGAAUACUAUUCUUCUUCUUAUGCGUCCUUUAACAAUAGCCUUCAUAGUCAUAUGCGUUCAAUCCCUUGUGUAAACAUUGCAAUGCCAAGAAGCAGCAUGAGAUUUUCAUGAAAGGUACUUAAGCUAAUCUGUUCUAAAUCUAACUAGCUAGCUACCAUGUGGGGCUUAGGUAAUGUCCCUUGGAGUCCAAGAUUCGGCCAGUCUUCAUGAACUCUGCAGCACUCACGCUCCAAGUGGGAUCUCUAGUUUGUUGCAUGUAAAGAGUCAACAUCUCUCUGCAGGCGAUGAUAUCGGUGGGUGCUCGUGGACUUUAUCAUGUCGGUUUGGCCAUGCCACCAAGUUGGUGAUCUUACACUGUCAUGUUAUGUCAAUGGGAUAUGAAACCCUGGAGGUGGAGCUGCAGGUGGGGUUCAUGGAGUAUGUGGAGGAAUAGGAGAUGAUUGGUCUACCAUUGGCUUGGAUCACUUUCUGUUUGCUUACCAACCAAUCGGCGACCGAAACAGCAUUGCUUGCCAAUUAAUCAGCGACUGAAGCAACACACUUGCCAGCCAAUAGAUGCCUGAAACAACAUCAGUGUCCUGAUGGCUUUAUCUAGUACCUUUGCAGGCAGACAUCUUUCAAAGCAGAAAUCAUUCCCCCACCCAGGCCUCUUGUAGGAUGUUCUUUCGGAGCUUGAUCAGAGUCUGGUGGACCAAAGACAGAGCAAUUUCUAAUCGUUGUAGCUAACUCCAGAAAUUCUCUCCUUUUUGUCAACAUAUUAUUUUGAAGUCUCAUUUCAUUGAAGGGAAUAGGACAUCAUAAAGUUUGCUGGUUUUUUCAAGUAUCAAAUCGAGGACAUGUGUCGGCUGUCGAUAGAUGGUGGUUGUUGUUCAUAUUUUUCUCGAGCACUUGAAAAAGAUGUUUUCAGCUACUAAUCUUUGAGUUACGGAUAUGAUUGCACAUUUAUGCCU